rnacentral:rRNA from 1 species
UACGGGGGGGGCAAGCGUUGUUCGGAAUUACUGGGCGUAAAGGGCUUGUAGGCGGCUUGUUAAGUCAGACGUGAAAUCCCUCAGCUUAACUGGGGAACUGCGUCUGAUACUGGCGAGCUUGAGUGCAGGAGAGGAACGCGGAAUUCCAGGUGUAGCGGUGAAAUGCGUAGAUAUCUGGAGGAACACCGGUGGCGAAGGCGGCGUUCUGGACUGCAACUGACACUGAGAAACGAAAGCCAGGGUAGCAAACGGG